rnacentral:rRNA from 1 species
AUUGAACGCUGGCGGCAGGCUUAACACAUGCAAGUCGAGCGGAGAUGAGGUGCUUGCACCUUAUCUUAGCGGCGGACGGGUGAGUAAUGCUUAGGAAUCUGCCUAUUAGUGGGGGACAACAUUCCGAAAGGAAUGCUAAUACCGCAUACGUCCUACGGGGGAAAGCAGGGGAUCUUCGGACCUUGCGCUAAUAGAUGAGCCUAAGUCGGAUUAGCUAGUUGGUGGGGUAAAGGCCUACCAAGGCGACGAUCUGUAGCGGGUCUGAGAGGAUGAUCCGCCACACUGGGACCGAGACACGGCCCAGACUCCUACGGGAGGCAGCAGUGGGGAAUAUUGGACAAUGGGGGGAACCCUGAUCUAGCCAUGCCGCGUGUGUGAAGAAGGCCUUAUGGUUGUAAAGCACUUUAAGCGAGGAGGAGGCUACUGAGACUAAUACUCUUGGAUAGUGGACGUUACUCGCAGAAUAAGCACCGGCUAACUCUGUGCCAGCCGCCGCCGUAACAC